rnacentral:misc_RNA from 1 species
UCUCCGUAGGUGAACCUGCGGAGGGAUCAUUACCGAGAACGAAUUCCUUGCGGAUUCGAACUCCCACCCUUUGUUUUCCGACAACGUUGCCUCGGGGCGGCCACCAUGUGUGGUGCCCCGGCGGACAAGCCAACUCUGCAUCUUUGCGUCAGAGUCUCAAUGUAAAUUGAACUAAAACUUUCAACAACGGAUCUCUUGGUUCUGGCAUCGAUGAAGAACGCAGC